rnacentral:rRNA from 1 species
GGAAUUUUGGACAAUGGGCGAAAGCCUGAUCCAGCAAUGCCUCGUGCAGGAUGAAUGCCCUCAGGUUGUAAACUUCUUUUGGACGGAACGAAAAGCCUGAGGCUAAUAUCCUCGGGUCAUGACGGUACCGUAAGCAUAAGCACCGGCUAACUACGUGCCAGCAGCUGCGGUAAUACGUAGGGUGCAAGCGUUAAUCGGAAUUACUGGGCGUAAAGCGUGCGCAGGCGGUUUUGUAAGACAGUGGUGAAAUCCCCGGGCUCAACCUGGGAACUGCCAUUGUGACUGCAAGGCUGGAGUGCGGCAGAGGGGGAUGGAAUUCCGCGUGUAGCAGUGAAAUGCGUAGAUAUGCGGAGGAACACCGAUGGCGAAGGCAAUCCCCUGGGCCUGCACUGACGCUCAUGCACGAAAGCGUGGGGAGC